AAAAAAAUUAAUUGAUUUUUAAGAAAUUCCAAGAAAUGUUUCCCUGACUUUUAUUCAAAGAGAGGAAAGUGCAGAGAUUGCUCCUUAGGAUACUUUGGACCUAACUGUUCUCACCCCUGUCCCUAUCCAAAGUUUGGACAUCGAUGCCUUGACGGAGACUGUAACUGCUCCAUAGACGAGUGUGAUAUUUCUUAUGGCUGUAAUUCUCCAGACUCUAAUGGGAUACCAACGACUGCUUCAAGAAAUGCAUCUAUCGGAAUCUCACAAAAUAUAAAGUCAUCAAGACUUCCUGGAAUAACAAUCAUCACAUAUACUACUGGUUCAUUGCUUUUGUUU